rnacentral:rRNA from 1 species
UACAGAGGUGGCAAGCGUUGUUCGGAAUUACUGGGCGUAAAGGGCGCGUAGGCGGUCUUUUAAGUCUCGUGUGAAAUCCCUCGGCUCAACUGAGGAACUGCACGGGAUACUGGAUGACUUGAGUUCGGGAGAGGGAAGCGGAAUUCCGGGUGUAGCGGUGAAAUGCGUAGAUAUCCGGAGGAACACCGGUGGCGAAGGCGGCUUCCUGGACCGAUACUGACGCUGAGGCGCGAAAGCUAGGGGAGCAAACGGG